rnacentral:rRNA from 1 species
UACGGAGGAUGCGAGCGUUAUCCGGAAUCAUUGGGUUUAAAGGGUGCGUAGGCUGGUAUUUAAGUCAGUGGUGAAAUUUUCGUGCUUAACAUGAGAGCUGCCAUUGAUACUGGGUACCUAGAGUGUAUUUGAUGUGGGCGGAAUGUGUUGUGUAGCGGUGAAAUGCUUAGAUAUGACACAGAACACCGAUAGCGAAGGCAGCUCACAAAGUUACAACUGACGCUGAUGCACGAAAGCGUGGGGAGCGAACAGG